rnacentral:rRNA from 1 species
AGAAUCAACGCUGGCGGCGUGCCUAACACAUGCAAGUCGCACGAGAAAGUGGAGCAAUCCAUGAGUACAGUGGCGCACGGGUGAGUAACACGUGAAUAAUCUACCUCCGAGUGGGGAAUAACCUAGAGAAAUCUGGGCUAAUACCGCAUAACACUUACGAGUCAAAGCAGCAAUGCGCUUGGAGAGGAGUUCGCGGCCGAUUAGCUAGUUGGCGGGGUAAUGGCCCACCAAGGCGAUGAUCGGUA